UACGUAGGGUGCAAGCGUUGUCCGGAAUUAUUGGGCGUAAAGAGCUCGUAGGCGGUUCGUCGCGUCUGCUGUGAAAACCCGAGGCUCAACCUCGGGCCUGCAGUGGGUACGGGCAGACUAGGGUGCGGUAGGGGAGAUUGGAAUUCCUGGUGUAGCGGUGGAAUGCGCAGAUAUCAGGAGGAACACCAAUGGCGAAGGCAGAUCUCUGGGCCGUAACUGACGCUGAGGAGCGAAAGCAUGGGGAGCGAACAGG
rnacentral:rRNA from 1 species